rnacentral:rRNA from 1 species
GACGAACGCUGGCGGCGUGCCUAACACAUGCAAGUCGAGCGGAGAUAUUAGCAAUAAUAUUUUAGCGGCGGACGGGUGAGUAACGCGUGGGCAACCUGCCUUUCACUGGGGGAUAACACAGAGAAAUUUGUGCUAAUACCGCAUAACAUCACGAGAUGACAUCUUCUUGUGAUCAAAGGAGUAAUCCGGUGAUUGAUGGGCCCGCGUCCGAUUAGCUAGUUGGUGGUGUAAUGGACCACCAAGGCGACGAUCGGUAGCCGAACUGAGAGGUUGAUCGGCCACAUUGGGACUGAGACACGGCCCAGACACCUACGGGUGGCAG